GACGAACGCUGGCGGCGUGCUUAACACAUGCAAGUCGAACGGAAAGGCCUGCUUUCCCUUGUGGAUUGCGGGUACUCGAGUGGCGAACGGGUGAGUAACACGUGAGUGAUCUGCCCCCAACUUGGGUAUAAGCCCGGGAAACUGGGUCUAAUUCCCGAUAGGACUGCAGGGUGGUGCCUGUGGUGGAAAACGAUUUUCUAGUGGUUGGGGAUGAGCUCGCGGCCUAUCAGCUUGUUGGUGGGGUAAUGGCCUACCAAGGCGGCGACGGGUAGCCGGCCUGAGAGGGUGGACGGCCCCAUUGGGACUGAGAUACGGCCCAGACUCCUACGGGAGGCAGCAGUGGGGAAUAUUGCACAAUGGGCGGAAGCCUGAUGCAGCGACGCCGCGUGGGGGAUGACGGCCUUCGGGUUGUAAACUCCUUUCGACCGCGAGGAAGCCACCUGGUUGGAAGGGUGGUGACGGUAGUGGUAGAAGAAGCACCGGCUAACUACGUG
rnacentral:rRNA from 1 species